AGAGUUUGAUCAUGGCUCAGGAUGAACGCUAGCGGCAGGCUUAACACAUGCAAGGUCGAGGGGCAGCAUUCGGGUAGUCAAUACCUGAGAUGGCGACCGGCGCACGGGUGCGUAACGCGUAUGCAACCUACCCAUAACAGGGGCAUAACACUGAGAAAUUGGUACUAAUUCCCCAUAACAUUCGAAGAGGCAUCUUUUCGGGUUGAAAACUCCGGUGGUUAUGGAUGGGCAUGCGUUGUAUUAGCUGGUUGGUGAGGUAACGGCUCACCAAGGCGACGAUACAUAGGGGGACUGAGAGGUUAACCCCCCACAUUGGUACUGAGACACGGACCAAACUCCUACGGGAGGCAGCA
rnacentral:rRNA from 1 species